rnacentral:rRNA from 1 species
UACGUAGGGUGCGAGCGUUAAUCGGAAUUACUGGGCGUAAAGCGUGCGCAGGCGGUUCGUUGUGUCGGCGGUGAAAGCCCCGGCUCAACCUGGAGUCGCCAUCCGAUACUGCCAUAGCUAGAGUCCGGUAGGGGCCCACGGAACUCCUGGUGUAGCGGUGAAAUGCGCAGAUAUCAGGAAGAACACCGGUGGCGAAGGCGGGUCUCUGGGUAGUAACUGACGCUGAGGAACGAAAGCGUGGGUAGCGAACAGG